rnacentral:rRNA from 1 species
UGCCAGACUCCUACGGGAGGCAGCAGUGGGGGAUAUUGCACAAUGGGGAAAACCCUGAUGCAGCGACGCCGCGUGGGCGAAGAAGUAUUUCGGUAUGUAAAGCCCUAUCAGCAGGGAAGAAGAAAUGACGGUACCUGAGUAAGAAGCACCGGCUAAAUACGUGCCAGCAGCCGCGGUAAUACGUAGGGGGCAAGCGUUAUCCGGAUUUACUGGGUGUAAAGGGGGCGCAGACGGCGAUGCAAGCCAGGAGUGAAAGCCCGGGGCCCAACCCCGGGACUGCUCUUGGAACUGCGUGGCUGGAGUGCAGGAGGGGCAGGCGGAAUUCCUGGUGUAGCGGUGAAAUGCGUAGAUAUCAGGAGGAACACCGGCGGCGAAGGCGGCCUGCUGGACCGCGACUGACGUUGAGGCUCGAAAGCGUGGGGAGCGAACAGGAUUAGAUACCCUAGUAA